ACGGAGGGUGCGAGCGUUAUUCGGAAUUACUGGGCGUAAAGCGCGUGUAGGCGGGGUAGUAAGUCUGAUGUGAAAGCCCUGGGCUUAACCUUGGAAGUGCAUUGGAAACUGCAUGUCUUGAGUACUGGAGAGGAAGGGGGAAUUCCCGGUGUAGAGGUGAAAUGCGUAGAGAUCGGGAGGAAUACCGGUGGCGUAGGCGGCCUACUGGGCGGUUACUGACGCUGAGACGCGAAAGCGUGGGGAUCAAACAG
rnacentral:rRNA from 1 species